rnacentral:rRNA from 1 species
AGCGAACGCUGGCGGCAGGCCUAACACAUGCAAGUCGAACGAACUCUUCGUAGUUAGUGGCGGACGGGUGAGUAACACGUUGGAACGUUCCUUUUGGUUCGGAAUAACUCAGGGAAACUUGUGCUAAUACCGAUUGUGCCCUUCUGGGGCAAGAUUUAUCGCCAUUAGAGCGGCCCGCGUCUGAUUAGAUCGUUGGUUAUGUAACGGCUCACCAAGGCGACGAUCAGUAGCUGGUCUGAGAGGAUGACCAGCCACACUGGGACUGAGACACGGACCAGACUACGACGGGAGGGAGGAGAGGGGAAUAGAGCGAAAGGGGGGAAAGGAAGAAGGAGCCAGGCCGGGAGAAUGAUGAAGGGAGUAGGAAAGUAAAAUUCUUUAACAGGGGACGAUAAUGACGGUACCAGGAGAAGAAGCCCCGGCUAACUACGUG